rfam:Haemonchus contortus, ISE/inbred ISE, WGS project CAVP01000000 data, contig: Hcontortus_16820
GGCCCAAAUUUGAAAUAGAGUGGAUCAGGAGGAUCAUCUGACCCUACUAAACUACUCUACUUUGAGUUUGUGCCC